rnacentral:rRNA from 1 species
UGCGUAGGUGGCGCCGUAAGUGGGGUGUGAAAUCUCGGGGCUUAACUCCGAAACUGCAUUCCAUACUGCGGUGCUUGAGGACUGGAGAGGAGACUGGAAUUCAUGGUGUAGCAGUGAAAUGCGUAGAGAUCAUGAGGAAGACCAGUGGCGAAGGCGGGUCUCUGGACAGUUCCUGACACUGAGGCACGAAGGCCAGGGGAGCAAACG